AUUGAACGCUGGCGGCAUGCUUUACACAUGCAAGUCGAACGGCAGCGCGGGCUUCAGCCUGGCGGCGAGUGGCGAACGGGUGAGUAAUACAUCGGAACGUGCCCAGUAGUGGGGGAUAGCUCGGCGAAAGCCGGAUUAAUACCGCAUACGACCUGAGGGUGAAAGCGGGGGAUCUUCGGACCUCGCGCUAUUGGAGCGGCCGAUGGCAGAUUAGCUAGUUGGUGGGGUAAAGGCCUACCAAGGCGACGAUCUGUAGCUGGUCUGAGAGGACGACCAGCCACACUGGGACUGAGACACGGCCCAGACUCCUACGGGAGGCAGCAGUGGGGAAUUUUGGACAAUGGGCGAAAGCCUGAUCCAGCAAUGCCGCGUGUGUGAUGAAGGCCUUCGGGUUGUAAAGCACUUUUGGCGGGAACGAAAAGGACCGUGCCAAUACCA
rnacentral:rRNA from 1 species